rnacentral:rRNA from 1 species
AGUGAACGCUGGCGGUAGGCCUAACACAUGCAAGUCGAACGGCAGCACAGUAAGAGCUUGCUCUUACGGGUGGCGAGUGGCGGACGGGUGAGGAAUACAUCGGAAUCUACUUUUUCGUGGGGGAUAACGUAGGGAAACUUACGCUAAUACCGCAUACGACCUACGGGUGAAAGCAGAGGAUCUUCGGACCUUGCGCGAUUGAAUGAGCCGAUGUCGGAUUAGCUAGUUGGCGGGGUAAAGGCCCACCAAGGCGACGAUCCGUAGCCGGUCUGAGAGGAUGAUCAGCCACACUGGAACUGAGACACGGUCCAGACUCCUACGGGAGGCAGCAGUGGGGAAUAUUGGACAAUGGGCGCAAGCCUGAUCCAGCCAUACCGCGUGGGUGAAGAAGGCCUUCGGGUUGUAAAGCCCUUUUGUUGGGAAAGAAAAGCAGCAGGUUAAUACCCCGCUGUUCUGACGGUACCCAAAGAAUAAGCACCGGCUAACUUCGUG